rnacentral:tRNA from 1 species
UGGGGUAUAGCUUAAUGUUAAAGCUUUGGAUUUUUACUUCAACGAUGGGAUCUGCUCCAA